rnacentral:lncRNA from 1 species
UCUCAGGCUUGUGUAUGAGUUUUUGAUAUCAUUCUGCACUUUAUCAGAUCAGAUGCUAAUCAAAUUCUAGCCCCAAGUUUAGGCUUAAUUUUUUUUUUUUAAUCUCAAGGUGUUCUUGAUUCAAUCAGGCACACCCUUGAUUCCCCUGUCCUGGAGCUCUGCCCCUAGUUUUUGGUAAAGAGAUCCUGGGGAAACUCCCCCUGAGAACUGGGUCCUCAUUUCAAACCCAGCCUGGGAUUCCUGGUUUUACUCUGGACACUGGAGGAUCAGUCCACUUCAGCACAGAUUGCUCUUGACUGGCACUCCAGACUUCUCCACAGUUACAUAUAGAAAUAAUUUUUGAGAGUUGAACUUGGAGUUGAACUGGAAGAUCAGUCACUUGGACUUGGAGAGAAGAACAGUCACUUGGAGCUAGAGGGAAGACAGACACUCGAGGAGAGACUGGAACACAGGCACUCAGACUUGUAGUGAAGACACUUGGCUGUGGAACUGGACCCCUGGAGGAGCUCUUGCAGGAGACCUCAGACCGCUUUCCUUUUAGAUGUGGAGAAAACCAGAAUAAUAUUCGAAUUGAUUCACCCAAAAGAGAAACACUAAAGAAUCUCAUUUCAAAAAUUGACUGGCAAGUUUAA